rnacentral:rRNA from 1 species
CGCCUACGGGACGCAGCAGUGGGGAAUAUUGCACAAUGGGGGAAACCCUGAUGCAGCGACGCCGCGUGAGUGAAGAAGUAUUUCGGUACGUAAAGCUCUAUCAGCAGGGAAGAAAUAAAGUCCUUCGGACUUUGGACGGUAUCUGACUAAGAAGCCCCGGCUAGCUACGUGCCAGCAGCCGCGGUAAUACGUAGGGGGCAAGCGUUAUCCGGAUUUACUGGGUGUAAAGGGAGCGUAGACGGCAGCGCAAGUCUGGAGGGAAAUGCCGGGGCCCAACCCCGGAACUGCUCUGGAAACUUUGAAGG